rnacentral:rRNA from 1 species
AUUGAACGCUGGCGGCAUGCCUUACACAUGCAAGUCGAACGGUAACAGGUCUUCGGAUGCUGACGAGUGGCGAACGGGUGAGUAAUACAUCGGAACGUACCUAGUAGUGGGGGAUAACUACUCGAAAGAGUGGCUAAUACCGCAUGAGAUCUACGGAUGAAAGCAGGGGAUCGCAAGACCUUGUGCUACUAGAGCGGCCGAUGGCAGAUUAGGUAGUUGGUGGGAUAAAAGCUUACCAAGCCGACGAUCUGUAGCUGGUCUGAGAGGACGAUCAGCCACACUGGGACUGAGACACGGCCCAGACUCCUACGGGAGGCAGCAGUGGGGAAUUUUGGACAAUGGGCGAAAGCCUGAUCCAGCAAUGCCGCGUGCAGGAUGAAGGCCUUCGGGUUGUAAACUGCUUUUGUACGGAACGAAAAGCCCCGGGUUAAUACCCUGGGGUCAUGACGGUACCGUAAGAAUAAGCACCGGCUAACUACGUGCCAGCAGCCGCUGUAA